rnacentral:rRNA from 1 species
UCUACGGGAGGCAGCAGUGGGGAAUAUUGGGCAAUGGAGGAAACUCUGACCCAGCGACGCCGCGUGCGGGAUGAAGGCCUUCGGGUUGUAAACCGCUUUCAGCAGGGAAGAAGCGAAAGUGACGGUACCUGCAGAAGAAGCACCGGCUAACUAUGUGCCAGCAGCCGCGGUAAUACAUAGGGUGCAAGCGUUGUCCGGAAUUAUUGGGCGUAAAGAGCUCGUAGGUGGUUCGUCACGUCGGAUGUGAAAAUCUGGGGCUUAACCCCAGACCUGCAUUCGAUACGGGCGAGCUUGAGUAUGGUAGGGGAGUCUGGAAUUCCUGGUGUAGCGGUGGAAUGCGCAGAUAUCAGGAGGAACACCAAUGGCGAAGGCAGGACUCUGGGCCAUUACUGACACUGAGGAGCGAAAGCGUGGGGAGCGAACAGGAUUAGGAUACCCUGGUAGUCCACGCCGUAAACGGUGGGCACUAGUUGUGGGGACCUUCCACGGUCUCUGCGACGCAGCUAACGCAUUAAGUGCCCCGCCUGGGGAGUACGAUCGCAAGNUUAAAACUCAAAUGAAUUGACCGGNUGAGACGNGCGAGACGACGACGAGGGAGAGG